AAGAGCUGAAUUAGAAGAAAGACAGAAUUUGAAGGGAAAAAGAGAUGAGAAACAAGAAGAUCUGUCGGAUAGCAUUGACUUUAAAGGCAGUUCAGAUGAAGAAGAGAAUCGUCUUUGCAAUACUGUUCUCAUAACAGGGCCAACAGGAGUGGGGAAAACUGCUGCAGUAUAUGCUUGUGCUCAGGAGCUUGGGUUUAAGAUAUUUGAAGUGAAUGCCUCAUCUCAGCGCAGUGGUAGACAAAUUCUGUCUCAACUGAAGGAAGCUACUCAGUCCCAUCAAGUAGACAAGCAAGGUGUAAAUGCACAAAAACCUUGUUUUUUCAAUAGCUACAACAUAGGCAAGUCACCAA